UCCCCGCACAAAGCGGUGGAGCCCGAAA
rnacentral:sRNA from 1 species